rnacentral:rRNA from 1 species
UUGUAAUUUGUGAGGCAUCUCCGGGUAGGGCGCCGGCCUAAGUUCCUUGGAACAGGACGUCACAGAGGGUGAGAAUCCCGUGCUUGGCUGGCUGUCCCCGUCCAUGUGAGGUGUCUUCGACGAGUCGAGUUGUUUGGGAAUGCAGCUCAAAAUGGGUGGUAAAUUUCAUCUAAAGCUAAAUAUUGGUGGGAGACCGAUAGCGCACAAGUAGAGUGAUCGAAAGAUGAAAAGCACUUUGAAAAUAGAGUUAAAAAGUACGUGAAAUUGUUGAAAGGGAAGCGCUUGAGACCAGACUUCGGUAAGGGGUGAUCAGCCGUCCUUCUGGGCGGUGCACUUGCCCCCCUCCGGGCCAGCAUCGGUUGAGGCGGCGGGAUAAAGGUCUCGGGAAUGUGGCUCCUUCACGGGAGUGUUAUAGCCCGGGUGAAUGCCGCCAGCUUCGACCGAGGACCGCACCCGCAAGGGUUAGGAUGCUUGGCAUAAUGGUCUUCAGCGACCCGUCUUGAAACACGGACCAAGGAGUCUAACAUCUAUGCGAGUGUUUGGGUGUCAAACCCUUGCGCGAAAUGAAAGUGAACGGAGGUGGGAACCCGCAAGGGCGCACCAUCGACCGGUCCCGAAGUCUUCUGAAGGAUCUGAGUAGGAGCAUAGCUGUUGGGACCCGAAAGAUGGUGAACUAUGCCUGAAUAGGGUGAAGCCAGAGGAAACUCUGGUGGAGGCUCGCAGCGGUUCUGACGUGCAAAUCGAUCGUCAAAUUUGGGUAUAGGGGCGAAAGAC